AAACAAGUCAGGCUCAAUGGCUGCAUUUGUUCAGAACACCACAAAACAUGGUGUGGAAAACCAUAUCGAGCUACCUCCAGUCAAUUCAAUAGGCAAGUUUCAACAAAGAGAUCACCAAAAUGGAAAUAACCUAUCAGGAAAACAAGCUCUCCAGCCACUAAAGAAACAUCAACAAAAGACUUUUUGUCAUCCUGGAUCAUUGACUGCCUUUCGUGAGCUACGGAAAAAGCAAUCAGAGAAUAUGAUUCAAGACAAUGAAACAAACAGUACUUCCAACCUUGAAGUGGCAUAUGAAGGCCAGUUGAUCUCUAAUAGUGCAAAUGACAUUGUAAAUGAACAACCUGUAAAUGAUGCAACAAUGUAAUUGAAGAUAUAACUGAAGCGAUAGACGAGGACUCUCGAUUGAGAACUAAAAGCCCACAAGAAGUUCCUGCAAAAAAGAAGCAUCGAGGUCCAA